AGAAGGAAGGCGCCCUGCCUAUACCAUGGGCCAGCCCUGGUCUGAGAGGYGACAAUGAAAGACCGAGAACCGCAGGUUGUUUGGUCCUCGUUAAUCUGAGCAGCCCAUCAGUCRUGCAGCGCCACCGUAGAGACUCCUGCCCUUGGCAACCGUGCUCGUGGAGGAGAAGAAGAAGAAACACAAUACAGUAGGCCCUUAAUGGACGCAGAACGACUUCAGCCCGAGGAGGGGCUCUGGAAGAAAAAUGUGCUGGAGGUGAGAGGACAGAGCUUGGAAGGAAGAGGGCAAAGAGCAAAGACAACAAUGGGGGAAAUAAAACGUUGUCACCUAGAAAUUUAUUGUUUUAUCCAAAAAAUCGUGGAAUUUAAUGUCCAAUUAGUAUCUGUGGAAAUCCCACGGCUGGGAAAGGUUUCACCUCUCUGUUUUCUUUUCGAACAAUAUUUUUGAGACAUUGCAGAAUGAAGCAAUUAAAAUGCCUGCCAAGCUAUUUCAGGGGUGCCAGAGUUGUUGUUGGCCUCAGGUGUCCCCUGCAUGGACACAAUGUUGCAAACAUGACAGACACACACAAAAGAAGGAGCCGUAAGACUUAAUCUCAUCAACUAAUAUCGUUUAUUUUGUGGAUUUUUUGACAGAUUUCCCCCCCUCAUUCCUCUUGGAGUAUAAUCUGUCAACGUUAGCAGCUGUGAUCAGAUUAGGUGUGUGGCGAUGAAGGAUUUAGAUAAGAGCAAGUGUGUGAGGUCAGCACUGAUCUCUCCAACAGGGGCAGUCCGUCUCUUAAUGGGACCGGGGGUCUUAUCAGGGGAAUCUAAAGAGCUCCCUGAAGUUCACCUCGAUUUAACCGCAAUCUUUGGGUUGACACAUAUAUAACUCAGGGAUGUGCUCAGGAGCGAGGGUCAUUCGCUUUUACAAGAGUGAGAGCGUACAGUUUAACACGCAGACAAGUCAAAAUAUAUUUCAUUUG